rnacentral:rRNA from 1 species
UACGUAGGGUGCGAGCGUUGUCCGGAAUUAUUGGGCGUAAAGAGCUCGUAGGCGGUCUGUCGCGUCUGCUGUGAAAACCCGAGGCUCAACCUCGGGCCUGCAGUGGGUACGGGCAGACUUGAGGUAUGCAGGGGAGAACGGAAUUCCUGGUGUAGCGGUGAAAUGCGCAGAUAUCAGGAGGAACACCGGUGGCGAAGGCGGGUCUCUGGGCCGAUACUGACGCUGAGGAGCGAAAGCGUGGGGAGCGAACAGG